GACGAACGCUGGCGGCGUGGAUUAGGCAUGCAAGUCGAACGGUAUCAUCCUUUCGGGGGUGAGAGAGUGGCGAACUGGUGAGUAACACGUAGGUUAUCUACCCUCAAGACGGGGACAACCCAGGGAAACUUGGGCUAAUACCGGAUGUGAGCAACUUUUAGUUGUUUGAAAGGUGGCGUAAGCUGUCGCUUGGGGAUGAGCCUGCGUCCUAUUAGUUAGUUGGUGAGGUAACGGCUCACCUAGGCAAUGAUAGGUAGGCGGCCUUAACGGGUGGUCGCCCACACUGGGAUUGAGAUACGGCCCAGACUCCUACGGGAGGCAGCAGUCGAGAAUAGUCUACAAUGGUCGGAAGACUGAUAGUGCGACGCCGCGUGAACGAUGAAUCCCUUCGGGGUGUAAAGUUCUUUUAUAUGUGAGCAGUGCUUCUUAUAUUAACAGUAUGGGGAGAGAGAUAUUAGCAUAUGAAUAAGCAACGGCUAACUCCGUGCCAGCAGCCGCCGGUAAUAC
rnacentral:rRNA from 1 species